rnacentral:rRNA from 1 species
UACACUCCUACGGGAGGCAGCAGUAGGGAAUCUUCCACAAUGGGUGCAAACCUGAUGGAGCAAUGCCGCGUGAGUGAAGAAGGUCUUCGGAUCGUAAAGCUCUGUUGUUAGAGAAGAACACGUGCUAGGUAACUACUAGCGCCUUGACGGUAUCUAACCAGAAAGUCACGGCUAACUACGUGCCAGCAGCCGCGGUAAUACGUAGGUGACAAGCGUUGUCCGGAUUUAUUGGGCGUAAAGGGAGCGCAGGCGGUCUGUUUAGUCUAAUGUGAAAGCCCACGGCUUAACCGUGGAACGGCAUUGGAAACUGACAGACUUGAAUGUAGAAGAGGAAAAUGGAAUUCCAAGUGUAGCGGUGGAAUGCGUAGAUAUUUGGAGGAACACCAGUGGCGAAGGCGAUUUUCUGGUCUAACAUUGACGCUGAGGCUCGAAAGCGUGGGGAGCGAACAGGAUUAGAAACCCUGGUAGUCCCAUG